GAUCCUGGCUCAGGAUGAACGCUGGCGGCGUGCUUAACACAUGCAAGUCGAACGGACGACGGGAGCUUGCUCCCGAAGUUAGUGGCGGACGGGUGAGUAAUGUAUGAGCAACCUGCCCUUCAGAGGGGGACAACAGCUGGAAACGGCUGCUAAUACCGCAUAAUAUGUGAGAGUCGCAUGACUUUUGCAUCAAAGGAGUAAUCCGCUGAAAGAUGGGCUCAUAU
rnacentral:rRNA from 1 species